GACAGAGGUGCCGAGCGUUAGGCGGAAUCACUGGGCUUAAAGCGUGUGUAGGCGGGCGGGCAAGUACCUUGUGAAAUCCCACGGCUCAACCGUGGAACGGCUGGGUAUACUGCCUGUCUUGAGCCAACUAGGGGCGAGCGGAACAGACGGUGGAGCGGUGAAAUGCGUAGAUAUCGUCUGGAACGCCGAAGGUGAAAACAGCUCGCUGGGGUUGUGACUGACGCUGAGACACGAAGCCAGGGAGCGAACGGG
rnacentral:rRNA from 1 species